AUUGAACGCUGGCGGCAGGCCUAACACAUGCAAGUCGAACGAGUGGCGGACGGGUGAGUCAUGUCUGGGAAACUGCCUGAUGGAGGGGGAUAACUACUGGAAACGGUAGCUAAUCCCGCAUCCUAUCGGAUGUGCCCAGAUGGGUUUAGCUAGUAGGUGGGGUAAAGGCGCACCUAGGCGACGACGCCUAGCUGGUCUGAGAGGAUGACCAGCCAAACUGGAACUGAGACACGGUCCAGACUCCUACGGGAGUCAGCAGUGGGGAAUAUUGCACAAUGGGCGCAAUCCGAAUGCAGCCAUGCCUCUUGUAUGAAGAUGGCCUUCGGGUUGUAAAGUACUUUCAGCGGGGAGGCGUUACCCGCAGAAGAAGCACCGGCUAACUCCGUGCCAGCCGCCGCGGUAAUUC
rnacentral:rRNA from 1 species